AUUCAGCUGCCUGUCAUGUCUCAGUUAUCUAAAGAUGCCUUUUGUGCUCUGAGACCUCUAAGUCCGUCUGGAGGAUGUGACCUGGUUCUUGCAUGCCAGUCCUCUGUCCCUGGCGCGGCACCUCAGAAUAUUGGCUUCUGUGUGGUGGGUUGUUGAAGACCAACUCUGGUAAUGGUGUUAGGUUGAGAAGAGGUGCAGCAGAGGAUGCUGGGCCACAGCUGAUGGUGAAAGUGCGGCUUUGAUCUUCAUGCCAGUUCCCCAAGCGCAGCUUAUUACCCACUCGGCCUUAUCUUUUCAGACUUGAGAGAACUUGAUGACCUCACCAGACUCUAAGCUGCAUCCUAUAAAUAAAGUCCUGGCUUCCCUUCUCCUCUUUCUUCAUCCUAUAUAAAGGUUGUGAAUGAUCUGUUUUCUCAACAACAAUGGAAAAAUGGAGAAGUAAAGAAAAAAAUAAAACCACAAAAAUACAGCA